AAGGAUCAGGGGGAGGGCACAGACUGGCCCGUCCUAUUCCUAGAGGCAGCUCACCGAAGCCAGACGUGUCUCUGGAAUGUCCAGCAACAAUUUGUGUCCGCAUGGAUUGUUGCUGGACAUUUCUUAAUAAAUACCCAAAAAAUUAACCCACAUGCCGCACUAUAAUUUAAAGUUGAGUUUGUGUGUUUAUUUCAAGUAACAAUAAACUCGAGGUGUGAGUGGUGGUGCAACCAUCUGCAGGGGUGGGUCGAGUUAGCUGAAUGUGGUGACGCAGGUUACGAUCAACGUUAACAGUACUCAGCAUUCUUCAAGAAUUCAUGAACGCGAUGUGAUGACACCUGCAAAGAGAUCAAUCUAGCAGCAAAGCGCAAGUGAUCCCAGUAGACCAGUGCAAAAAUACUCGUCCUCGAGUAAUCAACGCGUUCUACUAGGAAACGAUCGGAACGCCUACUGCCGAUUUAUUGUUUAGAAUCGGUUCAAAAUACUUCUGAUAUUACGGAUUUCUUUAUAUUAUAAUGAUUCUUCAUGAAUUAAUGUAUUUGAGGAAAUCUUGUAUAGUUCAUAUUGUUAUUAUGUUAGACAUAAUUUGAACUUUAUUGUUUCGUUCAUUUUAUAUUUUAAUUUGUGCCGCGUCAACACUAUUGGCGUCGUGUACUCUUGUCAUAGUUAUUUUAUUCCCCGGACUGCAGGAACAUUCCGAUGGUAACACUAGUUCUGGGAGUUGGCCUUUAGGAAUGAGACACUAAUGAAUGCAAAUUAAGUCACAUUUUAAUUAUUGUGUAUCGGUGUUUAGUGUUCGAUGUAUCGUGUUACUGUAGGGAUUUAUUGUAAUUAGAUAUAUCAAUAUGUACUCACGCUGUCUGUCGUGAACUAGCAUUGUGGGGUGUUGGUCGGUACUACAACUUUAUUUACAAUUAAUACUAUUGCUGAAUUGAGAUUCAAAGCAUUACACACAUACUUACAAUCUUAGGAAUAGGGGGAAUAAAAUACAGAGGAUUAAAUAUCUUAUAGCCUGUCGUCUGGUUAAUAUUAACUUAUGAGGUAUCAUAAUCAUUUUAUUAACAUAUUAACCUUUUGAACUUCUCGAUGUUUGUGUAUUAGUAUUUAAUCAUGUAUUCACACGCCACUCUCAAUUACAGAUCAAAAUAUAAGAUUACAUAGGAAUUUUAGCACGGUGUUUAAUGGAUUAAAAUAGUAGAAGCGGAA